AUCCAGCUGAUGAGCCCAAAAAUGGGACGAAACGCGCGUCCUGGAU
rnacentral:hammerhead_ribozyme from 1 species